rnacentral:rRNA from 1 species
UACAGAGGUCUCAAGCGGUGUUCGGAUUCAUUGGGCGUAAAGGGUGCGUAGGUGGGCAGUUAAGUCAGUGGUGAAAUCUCCGGGCUUAACCCGGAAACUGCCAUUGAUACUAUCUGUCUUGAAUAUCGUGGAGGUAAGCGGAAUAUGUCAUGUAGCGGUGAAAUGCUUAGAUAUGACAUAGAACACCAAUUGCGAAGGCAGCUUACUACCCGAAUAUUGACACUGAGGCACGAAAGCGUGGGGAUCAAACAGG